rnacentral:rRNA from 1 species
UAAAAAGCUUCAAACUGGGAUUAGAUACCCCACUAUGCUUAGCCGUAAACUUAGACAUUUAAGUACAAUAAGAUGUCCGCCAGGGUACUACGAGCACUAGCUUAAAACCCAAAGGACCUGACGGUGUCUCAGAUCCAUCUAGAGGAGCCUGUUCUAAAACCGAUAACCCCCGUUCAACCUCACCACUUCUAGCUAUUUCAGCCUAUAUACCGCCGUCGUCAGCUUACCCUGUGAAGGGUAAAAAGUAAGCAAGAUGGGUACAACCCAGAACGUCAGGUCGAGGUGUAGCGCAUGAAGUGGGAAGAAAUGGGCUACAUUUUCUAUCACAGAAAACUACGAAUAUGCACCAUGAAACGGUGCUUAAAGGAGGAUUUAACAGUAAGAGGGAAAUAGAGCGUCCCCCGACCGUCGCCCUCUGCAUCG